rnacentral:misc_RNA from 1 species
GAAAUGCGAUACUUGGUGUGAAUUGUAGAAUCUCGUGAACCAUCAGGUCUUUGAACGCAAGUUGCGCCCGAAGCUAUUAGGUUGAGGCCAUAUCUGCCUGGGCGUCUCAUGUUGCAUCGCCCCUGCCCUUGAAGGGUUGGGGGCAGAUGUUGGUCCCCUACGUGAGGUUGUCCUAAAAAUGAGUCCCUUGCGGCGGACGAUGUGUCACGACGAGUGGUUGUUGACAAACCGUUGCAUCGUGUCCCGUGUGUCCUAGUUGUCACGGGAGGUCUGUUGUGACCUUGUUGCGCUGCUUCCAUGGCACUCCAAUCGCGACCCCAGGUCAGACGGGAUUACCCGAUGAGUUUAA